rnacentral:tRNA from 1 species
GGACCGGUGGUGUAGUGGUAACACAUUGUGUUCGGACGUGAACAGGAGUGGUUCGAUUCCCUCCCAGUCCG